GCCUCCGUAGCUCAGCUGGAUAGAGCAGGAAUCUUCUAAGUUCUUGGCCGCAGGUUCGAAUCCUGCCGGGGGCGCCA
rnacentral:tRNA from 1 species